AUGGCGGUUUCUAGGACAUAAACUAUAUCAAGACAUACCAAGAUGACAAUGAACUAAUAAACAAACUUAAAUAAUGUCAUUCCGAAUUUUGCUAUCGAUUUUCAUGUAAAAACCAGGAUUUGCUGUUGAGCGUUUAUUUCGAAGCGACAAAAACCUCAAAGCGAAAGUGAUUGACCUUGAAACAAAAGAUCAAAGGCAUAACGUAUUCGAAGCGCCGUAAUCGAAAACAUGUUAUCGUCUUUUCGCAUUAAAACUGUAUAAUCUGAAAACUUACAAAAUUUUACAGGAGAGUGUUUCAAAGUAAGAUCUGAUGGUCACUGGAAAAGUAGAAGGAAAACGUCCUAGAGGCCGGAGCCCCAAACGUUGGUCCGACCAGAUCUCCGAGCAAACCAGCAGACCACUUAGCGCUGCACUACACCAGGCAAAUGACCGGAACCGAUGGAGACUGGCAGUCGACAAGCUCAAACGGAGUCUCAGCAAUGAGGGAGCGAUGAAGAAGAAGAAGAAGAAGAAGUAGAAACCUCUACAAGAAGAGAUUAUAAUUUGCGAAAGGAUUAUCAAUCUUCAGGUGCCAGCAGCAUGAUAUGGUCGAAUUUCGUCUGUGUAGGGAUUUUGCAUUGAAGUCUAAAGGCAGAAAUAAUCGGAAAAUAUUCUAGAUUAAUCACGGGAAAGAUAGCACUGGUCGGUAGCACCAUUCUACAUAUUUUGCCACUAGGCAGCUGUGCGUUCUGGUUAGCACAACCCUUAGAUGACUGAAUUACGACUAUGCCCCUAUGAGUCAAGGUGGGCGGUUGCCUUCCCGUCGUGAUGUCUAUGAGCACCGGAAACCACUUCACACCAGAUCCACCAUUUCAGAUAGGAACGCAAGUAAUUGAAUGCCGUAGAGAUGAAUUCGUGUGAUAAUUUUUAUAUUUGCUUAUGUUAUUUAAUAUUUUUGUGGAAUAUUUUGUUAUUUUUUUUUUUUUUUUUUUAACUCACGAUUUAUUACUAAUCACUACAUAGUAUAAAACAAAGUCGCUUUCUCUGUCCCUAUAUCUGUCUGUCCCUAUGUAUGCUUAAAUCUUUAAAGCUACGCAACGGAUUUUGAUGCGGUUUUUUUUUAAAAGAUAGAGUGAUUAAAGAGGAAGGUUUUUAUGUAUAAUAACAUUCAUUAAAUAAUAGAAAAAUCAAUAAUAAAUUACAGUUUCCGAAGCGAAGCCAGGGCGGGUUGCUAGUUAUUUAUAAUUGAAAAGUCGAUUCGUAAUUUGACGCUUUGUUUAAAUCGAGUAAUGGUUGAAAUACGAAAAAUCUUAAAAAAAAAGUUUAUAUUUUUUUUUUUAAUAACUAGCCGUACUUACCCGCUUGGCUGGGCAUUUGAAAUUAACAUUAUUAUUUAUUGUCAUUAUUAUUAAGUCCAACACUCAUAUAAAUAUUAGCCUAUCCAUUAAGUACAUGUAUUUUCUACAUGGAUACCAAGUUUCAAGUCAAUCGGAUGCAUGGUUCAGUAGUUAUAACGGAACAUCCGUAAAAACCACUGUAGAUUUAUUUAUUUGUAUAGAUUAGUAUAACCUAUAUAAUUAACAUUAGUUUUACGGAUCAAUCUUUCUGUUUUUAUUUUCUCUGUCAUUAAAUUAUUUGCGACGUUUUGGA